GUGUGCAACAGCUUUAUCUGGGGGAUAGCCUUUCGAAAGGAAGAUUAAUACCCCAUAAUAUGUGAAUGGCAUCAUUCGACAUUGAAAACUCCGGUGGAUAGAGAUGGGCACGCGCAAGAUUAGAUAGUUGGUGAGGUAACGGCUCACCAAGUCUACGAUCUUUAGGGGGCCUGAGAGGGUGAUCCCCCACACUGGUACUGAGACACGGACCAGACUCCUACGGGAGGCAGCAGUGAGGAAUAUUGGACAAUGGGUGAGAGCCUGAUCCAGCCAUCCCGCGUGAAGGACGACUGCCCUAUGGGUUGUAAACUUCUUUUGUAUAGGGAUAAACCUACCCUCGUGAGGGUAGCUGAAGGUACUAUACGAAUAAGCACCGGUAACUCCGUGCCAGCAGCCGCGGUAAUACGGAGGGUGCAAGCGUUAUCCGGAUUAAUGGGGUUCAACAGGGUCCGUCAGGCGGGAUCUGUAAGUCCAUGGGUGAAAUCUCACAAGGUUAAACUUGUGAACUUGGCAUUGGAUUACUUGGCAGGUCCUUGGGGUUGGUAGGUCGGAAGUUGGGUUGGCAAUAAAGUAGAGUGUAACGGGUGAAAAUANGCGUUU
rnacentral:rRNA from 1 species